CCUACGGGCGGCAGCAGUGAGGAAUAUUGGUCAAUGGACGCAAGUCUGAACCAGCCAUGCCGCGUGCAGGAAGACGGCUCUAUGAGUUGUAAACUGCUUUUGUACGAGGGUAAACGCAGAUACGCGUAUCUGUCUGCAAGUAUCGCACGAAUAAGGAUCGGCUAACGCCGUGCCAGCAGCCGCGGUAAUACGGAGGAUUCAAGCGUUAUCCGGAUUUAUUGGGUUUAAAGGGUGCGUAGGCGGUCGGAUAAGUUAGAGGUGAAAUCCCGAGGCUCAACUUCGGAAGUGCCUCUGAUACUGUUCGGCCAGAGAGUAGUUGCGGUAGGCGGAAUGUAUGGUGUAGCGGUGAAAUGCUUAGAGAUCAUACAGAACACCGAUUGCGAAGGCAGCUUACCAAGCUACUUCUGACGUUGAGGCACGAAAGCGUGGGGAGCAAACAGGAUUAGAUACCCUUGUAGUC
rnacentral:rRNA from 1 species